UAGGUUGCAAUGUUUACUUCCCAGCCCCACUGUGGUGGGGUGAAAUCAGCAGAUUACUUGGUCCAAGCUGUGCCUCUUCGGGAAGCGCUAUAAGUUGGGCUGCCUGUGAUGGUGACGUUAAUGCAGCUCCCCAUGGACAAGCAGCUUGCACUGGGCAUUCCUGGACAACAGUAGCAGAUGCAUGGAGCACCACCAAAUUCUUGCCAAGUCACACACCAGCCUGACUUAGAACAAUAUCGCCAUUUCUUCAUCAUUGCUGAAUCAAAAUCUUGGAAUUUUCUACCUAAUGGCACUGUUGGUGUACCUUCACCACACAGACUGGAGGAGUUCAAAACUGCAGCCCUGUGACUAAUUCCCAAGGACUUUUAGAGAUCAACAAUAAAUGUAGUCUUUUCAGCGA